rnacentral:rRNA from 1 species
GGGGAAUAUUGCACAAUGGGCGCAAGCCUGAUGCAGCAACGCCGCGUGCGGGAUGACGGCCUUCGGGUUGUAAACCGCUUUCAGCAGGGACGAAGCUAACGUGACGGUACCUGCAGAAGAAGCACCGGCUAACUACGUGCCAGCAGCCGCGGUGAUACGUAGGGUGCGAGCGUUGUCCGGAUUUAUUGGGCGUAAAGAGCUUGUAGGCGGUUUGUUGCGUCGGAAGUGAAAACUCAGAGCUUAACUCUGAGCCUGCUUUCGAUACGGGCAGACUUGAGGGAUGUAGGGGAGAACGGAAUUCCUGGUGGAGCGGUGGAAUGCGCAGAUAUCAGGAGGAACACCAGUGGCGAAGGCGGUUCUCUGGACAUUUCCUGACGCUGAGAAGCGAAAGCGUGGGGAGCAAACA